rnacentral:rRNA from 1 species
CGAGGGGUAACAUGACGCUUCGGUGUUGAUGACGACCGGCGCACGGGUGCGUAACGCGUAUGCAAUCUACCUACAGCAGAGGGAUAGCCCGUGGAAACAUGGAUUAAUACCUCAUAAUACAGGGGGCCCACCUGGGCAUAUUGUUAAAGAUUUAUCGGCUGUAGAUGAGCAUGCGUCCCAUUAGCUAGUUGGUACGGUAACGGCGUACCAAGGCGAUGAUGGGUAGGGGUUCUGAGAGGAUGAUCCCCCACACUGGUACUGAGAUACGGACCAGACUCCUACGGGAGGCAGCAGUAGGGAAUAUUGGUCAAUGGACGGAAGUCUGAACCAGCCAUGCCGCGUGCAGGAAGACGGCCUUCUGGGUUGUAAACUGCUUUUCUCAGGGAAGAAAAGGGCCUUGCGAGGCAAAUUGCCGGUACCUGAGGAAUAAGCACCGGCUAACUCCGUGCCAGCAGCCGCGGUAAUACGGAGGGUGCGAGCGUUGUCCGGAUUUAUUGGGUUUAAAGGGUGCGUAGGCGGCCUAUUAAGUCAGUGGUGAAAGGUAUCAGCUUAACUGAUGACGUGCCAUUGAAACUGAUAGGCUUGAGUACAGACGAGGUAGGCGGAAUUUAUGGUGUAGCGGUGAAAUGCAUAGAUACCAUAAAGAACACCGAUAGCGAAGGCAGCUUACUAGACCGAGACUGACGCUGAGGCACGAAAGCGUGGGGAGCGAACAGGAUUAGAUACCCUGGUAGUCCACGCUGUAAACGAUGAUUACUGGAUGUGUGCGAUACACUGUACGCGUCUGAGCGAAAGCGUUAAGUAAUCCACCUGGGGAGUACGAUCGCAAGAUU